UACAGAGGGGGCAAGCGUUGUUCGGAAUUACUGGGCGUAACGGGCGCGUAGGCGGCCUUCUAAGUCGAACGUGAAAUCCCCGGGCUCAACCCGGGAACUGCGUCCGAUACUGGAAGGCUUGAAUCCGGGAGAGGGAUGUGGAAUUCCAGGUGUAGCGGUGAAAUGCGUAGAUAUCUGGAGGAACACCGGUGGCGAAGGCGACAUCCUGGACCGGUAUUGACGCUGAGGCGCGAAAGCCAGGGGAGCAAACGGG
rnacentral:rRNA from 1 species